GACCGCUACAGUAGCCUAAUGGUUAAAGCUUCCGCCUCAAAUAGGGUAGGUCUCGGGUUCAAACCACGGUUGAGUCA